UUUAUCGAUGAUGACUCCAUAGACCUGUACUGAAUGCGGAGAUGACCGCACCAUAUACAUCUAAGGGACUGAGAUAAC